rnacentral:rRNA from 1 species
UUAAAUUGAAGAGUUUGAUCAUGGCUCAGAUUGAACGCUGGCGGCAGGCUUAACACAUGCAAGUCGAACGGUAACAGGAAGAAGCUUGC